rnacentral:rRNA from 1 species
CAUGCAAGUCGAACGAAACUUAGUGAACCUCGGUUUGCUAAGUUUAGUGGCGCACGGGUGCGUAACGCGUGGGAAUCUACCCCUAGCUGCGGAAUAACUCAGAGAAAUUUGAGCUAAUACCGCAUAAUGUCGCAAGACCAAAGAUUUAUCGGCAAGGGAUGAGCCCGCGUAAGAUUAGCUUGUUGGUGAGGUAAAAGCUCACCAAGGCGACGAUCUUUAGCUGGUCUGAGAGGAUGAUCAGCCACACUGGGACUGAGACACGGCCCAGACUCCUACGGGAGGCAGCAGUGGGGAAUAUUGGACAAUGGGCGCAAGCCUGAUCCAGCAAUGCCGCGUGAGUGAUGAAGGCCCUAGGGUUGUAAAGCUCUUUUACUAGGGAUGAUAAUGACAGUACCUAGAGAAUAAGCUCCGGCUAACUCCGUGCCAGCAGCCGCGGUAAUACGGAAGGUGCGAGCGUUAAUCGGAAUUACUGGGCGUAAAGCGUACGUAGGCGGUUUGAUAUGUCGGAUGUGAAAUCCUCGGGCUUAACCUGAGAACUGCAUUCGAAACUGUCAAACUAGAGUAAGUCAGAGGAAAGUGGAAUUUCGGGUGUAGCGGUGG